CAUGAGAUAUUUGAAACGUGUCAAAAGGGUGUUCAUGUUUUCAAUCUUGCAUGAUUUGGGGGUCAUGAUUAAGGGCUCAAGUUUUCUUUACAUCCGAGGUGUAUUUUGAUCCAAGAUCAAUGUACUUCUGUUGGAACAUGGAAGGUUGCCCUCUUCGAAUGUAUAGGUUGCCCCGCAUUCUUUUAUAGAAUGGAUUUGGGCUUUGUGUUUGUUCUGCACAGAUAUUGGAGUGGUCUUCUUCAUCCUUGGUUAAUAUUGGUGACUUUCCCCUUGUUCAUUUUCUUGGAGAUCUUCUGGUGUAUCGAGUACCAUGCCUUGUUGGAAAUGAUUUUUGUUUGAGAAAAUUGUUGUUCUCUCAAGUCUCAAUGUCCUUAAUAAUGGAGACUUGGGGCAAAGAAAUCAUAGUUCAAAAUGAGGAUUGCUUAGCGUUUCAAUGGCAGGGAAGGCCCCAGCCAGUGCAGUGUGGUAGGCAAAGUGCAAAAGAUAGAGGAUCAAGCAAAACCUAUGACUUCAACUUUGGCCCUUGAUCAUGACAUAAAAUCUGUGUCAGAAUUUCUUGGUCCUGGUUACACAUCCGGACAUCCUUUAUUGAUCAUGUCUAUAUUAUCCUUUACCCCAAAAGUAAAAAGUCAGUUAUUCUCAUAAAGCUCGCUAGAAGGAAAAUUUGGGAAGACUAUCGCAAAGGAAUUAUACUAAGAUAGUAUAAAGGAGGUUGUGCAUCCAUUUGUUCAGGAUGAGCAGCCAGAAUCAAGGCGCUAGCUUAUGUUCUUCAGCGGAUACCCCUACGAAGCGGAAACGUGGGCGUCCACGCAAGGAUGAGAGUGUUCAAGGGGACAGCACACCUGUAACACCUGCAUCAGCCAUUCUAAUGAAAAACAAGCAGAGUAUGGUAACAAGUAACACAGCCUCUGAUGAAAUGGUUGGCGAGAUGGUUUCUGGUGUCAUUGAAGGUUCAUUUGAUGCUGGAUAUCUUCUUAAUGUUAAGGUAGGUGACACCAACACUCAUCUGAGAGGUGUUGUAUUUCUACCAGGGCGAUUCAUUCCAGUUACUGCUGCAAAUGAUGUGGCUCCUCAUGCUAAGAUGUACGAAAGAAAAGAGAUUUCUAUCCCAUUUGUAAACCCUCAAAGUCAGCACCGUGCUGUGGGUCCUCCGUUUGGGAAGAGUGAGAAACCUGUUGAGAAUAAAAAUGAUGCACCUAACCUUCCAGACCAAAGUCUACAUACUGGGCUUCCGUCUGGUGCCGCAACUGCUAGUGAGAGCAAAUCUGCCUCUAUUCUGAGUCCUCCAGCUAGUAACUUGCGAAUAAAUGACACAGGUCUUCCCCUGGGUCAAAAGGUCCUGCAAGAACAAAUCUUAGGUUCUCGAUUGCAGAAUGAUAAAGCUGUUGGACAGGAUCAAUCACUGGAGGGAUUUGAGGCCUUCAAACUGAUGAAAGGACCAAAUAUUGAUGUGGAGGUACCUAAAGCAUCGGACCCAGUGUCAGCAACAUUUACCGCUACUUUGCCAGCUACUGAUACUGUAAAUCUGAAGCCUCAAGUUGAACGUCAGGCCUUGAGUUCUGACCUUAAGCCACAGGAAUUGAUUCAUGAUGAUGUGAAAAGCCUUGACCUUGGUAACAACCAAACUCCCAAUGUUCCUGAACCUGAACCUCAAUCCAUGGCUUGUGAACCCACUGGAAUCAAGAUGUUUGAAAAACAGGCUUCAUCAAGGCCAGAUAAAGAUAUUUCACAAGAUACUCAACUGGAGCAUGCUAAGAAGAUUAUAUGUGGAAAUGAGAAGUCUCACAUGGAUGGAUUGUCUGCAAGUGAUACUGCGACAACUACUGUGACAGUUCCAUGCUCUGUAUCAACCAGCCUACCUAUAAUGAUAUUCGGGGCAGAAACAAUUCCAUCUGAAUCCAGCCCUGCUGCUGAAGAAUCUGAUGUUCCAAGAAGGGUUGUGUCUGAAGUUAGUAGUUCCUCAAUGGCUGCCAACACCAAUAGCGUGGAAAGUAAAACCAAAGAUGCCAUUCCACCAGCACAGUCUUAGUUUUCUCGAGUUGUGAAACUAGAGGCGGGAAUAGAAUGAGCCUUAGAAGUCAAGGCUUGAAGGAUGACUUGUGUAAGUCAUGACUGAGGAUAGUUGAGAGUUUAAGGAAAAUACUUAAAUUUAGGUAAGCAUGUGAUGUGGCCAAAGUAUAGAAAGAAAAAGUUGAUGACAGGAUGCCAUAUCAAAAAAGACUAAUGUGUUAAAAGGUACCAAGUUUGUCUCCAUUGAUAUUCAUAUUGAUUGAAUGAUGUUGUAACGAUAAUUUCAUUUCCAAGUUUGUCUCUAUUGAUAUUCAUAUUUGACUAAAUGUCUCAAGGACCAUGCUUGUUGGGUUUGGAAUUGUUCAGGACUUUUCAAUUAUCCUAACUUCGCUUGAACCUCAUAUAGCUCAUGGGCCUAGACCAGGAACUAGGUCUAAUUCCUGACAGAAUGUAGUCCCAAAUGACUGCUUUUCAGUUGAAUUUUUUCCAAUUGCCCAAGUUCAUGAAGGUCGAGACCCCAUAGGCCUAUAUGACACGCCCACUCCUGCCUCUGAGGCUACCUGCUUACAUUUAUUUCCCGUUUAAGCUCACGCUUUUGUCUUUGGGUCUUCAAAAGUGUGCAGUUACGAAGCACCAAGACCAAGUACUUUGAAGUAACAGCUGCCAAAGUUUUGCAGAAAUUUUUUUAUUGGCUUUUCUGUGUUCAAUCUGUCUAAUAAACUGUGGGUUCUCUUUUGUUUGGGAAGAUGGAUUUAAUUUCCCAAUUACAAGAACAAGUAAAUGCAAUAGUUGCCCUAGCCUUCAACACUUCUGGGUUGCUGCAGAGAGAUGCUCACUCAUCAGGCUUUCCCCUAAUUACCCAGAACCCCUUGCUAAUCCCACUGGGGACUCGGCGAAUUUUGCCGACCAACCUUGGCUUAUGAAUGCUGCUCUUGUUAAGGCUGCUAUACAGGUGAGGAAGGGUGAUUGAUUUUAUCAGAAUUAUGUUUUCUUCUUUUUUUUUUUGUUAGUACCACAAUCUUAGGAAUCGAUUAGUAGUAUAAUCUGAUGAUUGGAUCAAAUCAGUUCCUUGUCUCAUGGCCUUAUGUCAGAUGUUACUGAUUGUUACCGCUACUUUCAAGAGUUUGAUGCAUUGGUUGCAGUACUUCCAUCUUCCAAGGGGGGUGAAGAAGCUCAACUUAGAAGGAUUGCUGAACUCCACGUAGAUAGAGUCUCGACUGUGUUUUACAUGUCUUAAUUGUCUUUUUCUUGUUCUUUGUUUAUCGUUGUGCCUAUUGUCCAGGCUGAAAAUGAUGCUGUCGGCCAAGAACUUCAGAAGCAACUGGAGAGUGGAGGCUGCCGGUACAUUUUCCAAUCCUUCUGGUUGUUUGCUAGAUUUGUUGCCUUCAAUGUUCUUAAGAAUGAAUUUUGUUUCCAGUUCGAUUUCCCUUUAAUGAAUAAAGAACAAGGGAAAUAAGUACCAAAUUAGGUGUGGGAUUGCUAAGCCCCAGGCUGCUUAAUCUCAAAAGGAAAUUUUUUGUGCCAGAAACAUGGAGUAGUUGCCAAUAAUGCAGGGACUCUGGCCUUCAGUGUGGUAUUAGACAAAUCAAAUAGGAUGUUUGCUCCAUUGCUGUCAUUCUACAUACACAUUUUCUUCUGAUUUUCUAACUCAUUGUCAACUAAUGGUGCAUGUGUAGCUUGUGAAGGAGGUUAGUUUCUGAUCAUUAUUUUCCUUAACACUUUGUGAACAAUCUGAAUAGUAGGUGAAUUAUGUACUGGCACAAUAAGCAACUUAAAAUUAAAUUUGAUAAAAACAAGUAAAUGGCUAAGAUGCAUAAUACUAAAAGAUAGUUUUGAAUAAAAGUAAAAUCAUGUAUUUUUGUAUAUCCAUGAAAGUUCAAUUUUUCAAAAUAUUGUUUGCUUAGUAAUAGAAGCAAAACCAACUAAAAGCCGAAGGAAGAGGAUAUACUCUACAUAGGUUGCAGACAGUAAUCAUGAUUUGGAACACCUAAUUGAAUUCAUAUGCCUUGACUUCAAGGAGCCUGCUGUAUGCAAAUAUUGUGGACUGCGCUAUGUUGAGGAGCAUUAUCACUAGAAGUAUGAUGAUGUUUUUAUGAAGCUCUUGGGGUAAUUGUUGUUAUGCAGUACUCCAUUAAUUUAUAAUUUUGGUUUACCCUGUCUGGUUAUUCCAAGCUGAUCUUAUUUAUGUACAUAUAUAGAAUUCUUUUAACCAGUUUGAUUGUAUCACCACAUAGUUUUCCUUACAAGUAGAGUAGAACUUUUAUUGUAACCUGUAAUUCCUCUCAGUUCUCACAUUGCUCCAUUCAAAUUGGAGCUUUGAUUCUUUGACUGAGUAAAUUGCUGAAGAUGUUAUCCAAAUGUUGCAGAUUUUAAUUUCAUAACACUGAUAACGAAAGCUAACAAACUCAAAGUAGAUAUCAAAUCUGAAAAAAAAAAAAAAGAAAGUGGAAGAUUCUACGAAGGAAGUAGUACAAUUCUCUUAAGUGAUGGAAAAAGACAGAAAUUCUCAUAAAAGACUAGAACAAAUUGCAAUGGGACAUUCUGAGAACUUGAGUAGUUUGUUUCUCCAUCCAUGAGAUUUCUUCUUUGAUCCUUAUUCUUCUCUUCUUUGGAGGAGUUGAAUUAGAUAAAUGAGUCCUGGAGAAAAGAAGUGAUAAGAAGGCAUUACCCAGAGAUUAAGAAGCAUUUACAUAUGAAGGGUAGAGGUGAGAGGCAAUAUAGGAAAGACCCUGACAAUAAUAUUUCUGCAGGAAUCUGUAAACAUCAUGAAAGGUGGCAGUGGCAGCUCCUACAAGCCUCCAGGUGGCAAAUUCUUACAACUCUUUAUUAGUUUUUUUUCCUCUACAGGCAGAUUUGACAUCAUAAAUUCUGAACAUAUUUAUUUUAUAACUAAUUAAAAUAUCUCAAUACCUUUUCCCUGAAGAGAAAGUUAUCUUUCUAGUUUUUAGAUCUAAUGUAACUCGUGGGGCUUCUACAAAUAUAACCAACAUUCCCUUGAGGCUUUUGAAAUGUAACUGAUAACCAGCCUUAGAUAGUUGAGGCAUUUACAAGCUAGCCACUUAGAAAGAAAUUUUGAUAACUGAAUAGUGAGCUCUUAUGCUUUUUUCCAAAUGUUGUCAGGUAGCUCAAUUACUUUUUCUUUUGAACCAUUUGAAGUUUGCUGUUACUUGGUUCUCUAAACCUUUAAGGAUAAGGCUGUCCACCCUGCAUUUUCACUUUUGCGUAGCAAUAUCAUCUACCUCACAUACGGCCAUAAUGGUAAACCAAGAAUCUUUUGAAGGACUGUCUUACCCUUGAAUCAACUCUGAAACAUAUCAGAACCCUUGUAAAGUCAACCUUUUGGCUUAGAAGAGAACCAAGGUUAAUGAUACUUUCGUAAUUAGCAUUUAAGUUUAUUUAAUGUAAGCUUUUCAAAAAAAAAAAAAGUUUAUUUAAUGUAAUCCAUA